GGGCGCGUGGCCUAGUCUGGAUAAGGCGGCAGCCUCCUAAGCUGUAGAUCGGGGGUUCGAAUCCCUCCGCGCCCGC
rnacentral:tRNA from 1 species